rnacentral:rRNA from 1 species
CUGGGGGAAGCAAACAAGGAAUUAGAUACCCUGGGUAGGUCCACGCCGUUAAACGAAUGGUCGAUUUUGGAGGUUGUGCCCCUUGAGGGCGUGGGCUUCCGGAGCUAACGCGUUAAAUCGACCGCCUGGGGAGUACGGCCGCAAGGUUAAAAACUCAAAUGAAAUUGACGGGGGGCCCGCACAACCGGUGGAGCAUGUGGUUUAAUUCGAUGCAACGCGAAGAACCUUACCUGGUCUUGACAUCCACAGAACCUGGCAGAGAUGCCGGGGUGCCUUCGGGAACUGUGAGACAGGUGCUGCAUGGCUGUCGUCAGCUCGUGUUGUGAAAUGUUGGGUUAAGUCCCGCAACGAGCGCAACCCUUAUCCUUUGUUGCCAGCGGUUAGGCCGGGAACUCAAAGGAGACUGCCAGUGAUAAACUGGAGGAAGGUGGGGAUGACGUCAAGUCAUCAUGGCCCUUACGACCAGGGCUACACACGUGCUACAAUGGCGCAUACAAAGAGAAGCGACCUCGCGAGAGCAAGCGGACCUCAUAAAGUGCGUCGUAGUCCGGAUUGGAGUCUGCAACUCGACUCCAUGAAGUCGGAAUCGCUAGUAAUCGUGAAUCAGAAUGUCACGGUGAAUACGUUCCCGGGCCCUUGUACACACCGCCCGUCACACCAUGGGAGUGGGUGC